UUAUUUUCUCACUAGUACCCCAUGGAGAAAGUCAAACGUUUCUGGAAGAAUGACCGAGAGUUCAAUAUUGAUUCGGACUAUUUCCAGUUAGAGGAUUCUAUAUGUUUGCUGUUCGAACAACGACCACCAUUGACAGACCGACUAAGCCUCAAAGUAAUAUGGGCAUUCCUAAGAAUUUUCCACGCGUUUCAGUAUCUUUGCUUCACAGUUCAACUGGUGCGAUGUUUCGGAAAAUCUCCAAUGAAUGUUGAAGAAGUCACCAGUAUCGGAAACCUAAUAUUCGUGCUGACUGUUGCCAUUCUACGAGGAUUCAGUUUAGCGUACCACCGAGAUGCAAUGUUGGAGUUAAAGCAGUACGUUAACUCAAAAUCUUGUCGCCGAACAGACCCGGAAGCUUUUGCACUGCGCAAGAGUAAAUAUUUGAAGGUUAACCGCUAUGUGGCAUGGUUUCACAUCAUAACCACGAUGAACACUUUCAGCUGGGCGUGCACCACCGGACUACAAGAAGAUGUUUUCAAAAUUCCAUACCUCAUCGACGGAUUGUCUGAUACGACGAAGGAGAAGCUAAACUUUUGCUAUGCUAUGCUGUUGAUUACGUGGAAUUACACGUCGUGGUAUAGUCCCACACAGUUUCUUUCGCUGCUGAGCAUAUUGCAUACCGAGCUGAUUAUUAUUGUGGGGCAGUUUGAGGAUGUGCUCGAAAAAGUGAUUGCCAAAUAUGCCUUCGAUUGUACUGCACUCAAUGAAAUGUCAAGUGAGUGCAGAAACCCUUUUUGGAUUGAUCUGGAUAAUGAGUUCAAAAACGCUCUGGUUCAUCAUAUGACUUUCGUAAGGUAAUAACACGACAAACUAGGAGUGGUUUGUUAAACAUUUUUUACCUAAAAUUUGUAGGAAACUGUCGCUACUACGAAACAUUUCCAGUAUGAACUUUUUUAUAUUCCUUUGCUCGAGUACGCUGCUGAUAACCUUCAACAUAUUUCUGUUUCUCUUGGAACCUUCAUUGGGACAUAUACCGUUGCUACUUUUGGCUUUGCAGUACAUUUCAGAAACGUAUUUAUGCUGUACGAUGUUCAACAACUUAGAAAUUGAGAAUAAUCGUAUCAACUAUUUGGUCUACGUUUGCAACUGGCUGAACUCGGUCACCAACGAUCAUUCACUCGACCGACCUUAUUGCUGUAGUAUCUAUCAGAACGCUAUAAUUCUUCACCAACAAGUUGGCAAAGGCAUAACCAUUCGGGCUGGAGGUAUGUUCAGCUUGAGUUUGCCAACGUUUACAACUAUGAUGAAAUCGGUUUACUCACUUUUAACACUGAUGCUGCAGUUAAUGGAUGUGAAACCAAAAAUUA